AUUAUGAUGAUAUUUAUUUGGUCCGUGUUUAUGAAUUCUUUGAUUUAGACAUAUUUUUCCAUUAUUUCUGAUACAA
rnacentral:snoRNA from 1 species